GGUAAUCUUGCGAAUUAACGUGGAUUUUUGGACUAUUGUCAAUUUGAUUGUUAAUAUUUUGAAGUUUAGGAAAAAAAAAAUUUUUGGUAAAUUUUUUUUCUCCUAGUAGAGGGGGAUUGUAACGGUCUAAGACGUUACUGAAUCAUUUUGGAACUUUUUAAUUAUUUUUAUAAUUAUUUCCCCUUAAUCUCAUUCAAAUUCUCUAAUUUUCUCGUAAAAGACUACUUACGUGACGUCACAUUUCGGUGUCUACGGAACAUACUUGUUGAAUCGUUCCUUGACGUUUAAUUCGUGUUCCCUGGUAAUCCUCUUUGAAGGAGGGAGGAAUAAUCGGCACUUGGCUGCUGGCUGUCUAAUAGGUUAGACAAAAAUGGCGGAUUGAUUUCCAUCUAAAUUAUUUUUAUUCAACUAAGUUUAAUUAAAAAGUGAAAAGUUACCACCAACGGUUGUCUAGAGUAGGGAGACAUGUGUGUGACACAACUCCUCUUGGAGCUUGAAUAGGAAUCAUCCGCCAUUUGGAAGAAAUAAACGAAGUCAUAACCCUUUAAACAUCUUGAGAAGCCCUGAGACAGCCACAGCCAAGUCAAUCUGGGAGUAUGUCGUUGGGAGCAAGCUAUUAGAGUGUUCCAGCUCAAUUUUCGUCUGGACACCUGGGCCUACAGGAGGCAUGAUUUGGCACCUUUACAACAAUUAGUUUGGUGAUUUGAGUAACUUUUGUGUUUUAUAUUUCGGACUUUUGGUUUAAUGUACUAUGUUUAUUAAUUUUUUUUCAGAUUUAGCUUACCUUUGGUUUUUAUUAUAAAAUAUUUGAAUAUUAGUGUAUUUAGUUCCCAGACUGUUGUAUUUACGGUAAGUUCUUGUGCACAGGAAUAAGCCUAGAAAAUUAGGUUUUAUAUUUUAUUAUUGGUUUGAUAUUUAUUGUGUAAUAUUACUUGCUUGUUUCCCAAAUAUUUUAUUGUCUAUUCGCUUUACUUCAUUUAUUCGGUCCUUUUAAGUCGUUGUAUAUUUAUCUAACUUCAUUUCUUUAGCUUUCAUUCUUUAACUUUGAUUAAUUCAUUAUUGUAUUUUCUCUUAGUCAGGCUUGUGCCUAUUUAUUUGUAUUAUUUUCAUCUUUGUCGGUUUCAAUUUAGUGGUACGUAGCAAGCGUACUAUAACCAUUUGGUAGAAGUCUCAUGUGAGUUGUACCUUAUGUAUAUGUAAGAGGUAUUUAAGUUUUGUACAUACAUAUAACAGGAAUGUUGUUAUAUUGUAUAUCAUGUUUAGCGUUAACUUAACUUUGUAAUUUUAGAGUCACUUAAUAAUUCAAUUGGGUUUAACUCAGAGAUUGUCAAAAAUCUAGUAGUUAUUUUUAAUAAAUAUUUACUUAUUUUGUA
rnacentral:lncRNA from 1 species